CGAGGGCGGGAAGAGUGUGAGAACCCGGAGGAAGCACCGCCCCUCGACCGGUGGUAAUUUACGAAAUUCCUUUUGUUCCUGUUCGGGUUUUUCCAUUAAGGGAUAUGUCUGUCCAGCCGGGGCCCGUGGCCGAAAACAUCUGAAAGUAGUUCUGCUCUGAUUAAACAAUCUUGCUGUUAACUUCUACAACAAAGGGGACCCGGCCCAUUUGCCAUGUCACCUGCACCUCCGCGGCCGGGCUGCGCCUCCGAGGAUCGGUUCUCUCUAGAUACCCCAGACUCACUGAGAGGCUCUACGUUGGUACUAGGCUCCAGUCGUGAAGCAUCCUUUGGGAAACUACAGUCCCAGCCAUCAACUUCUACCUGCUCCCCUUCACCUGUGACAAUAAGUGUAGUCUUCACCCUUCCCCAGAGAAACUCCUCACUGCAGUAGACACUAUUUACAGAAACCACAGCUAAUCGAAAUGCAGAAUUGUGGAGCCCAGUCCCAGUGGAUACAUCUACAGAACACUCCUGCAUCUAAGGCCUGGGGAACAUUGUAAACGCAGGAAUGAAAGAUUAUAGGAGCCAGAAAAAACGGGGUUUGCAUCAGAAGCCACACCUCUUAAGUCUCACCAACAUGACUGCCCAAAUGUGAGCUGAACAAAGACAUUAACGAACAUGGCAAAGUGGACAGGAAAAAGCCCACACCCAAAGUUGUUCUCUGACUUCCACAUACCA